CCCAUAUCAGCACGCAGGCUUCUCUCGGCAUCUCUGCCUCUUGGCCUCUGGGCCCCAGCACCUCUCCAUUGUCAGACUCCUCCCUCCUGCAUGAGGCUCCCUCCCAGGGGUGCAAAGGAGGUCAUGGUCACAGCCAGGAAUGGGAUGAUUGUAGGGAGGGCUCCCCUACGGGGCAGAGAGAAAGCAGGAGAAAGCAGCAGCCUUUCUUCUUCAUCCCCCUCUGGGAGCUAAUUACAGGCCAGCAGCCCACUGCACAGGAGCGGUUGUCUGGCUGCAGGAGGUACCCUUCCACACAGCCGCAUGUAAAGGAGCCGUCCGUGUUGGUGCAUAGCUGGCUACAGGUGCCGUACACUGAACAUUCGUCAAAGUCUGCCAGGGAAAGGGCAAGAGCGUGGUCAUCUCCAAUGUAAUGAGGGCAGGAAAGUGGGUGCCCUCAGACACCACUGGUGGGGCCAUCCAUCCUGGCAGCUACUUUGGAGGACAAUUUGGCAAACUCUAUCACAAUGAGAGAUGUACAAACUCCAUCACCUAGCAAGUCCAGACUGGGAGUCUGCCCCUAGUGAAAUAUCCAUACAUGGGUGCAUCAUUCGUUCAUUCAGAAAAGAUCUUAAGAGUACCUGCUAUAUGCCAGGUACCAUCCUAGGCUCUGAGGAUACAUCCGUGAAUCAGAUGUAUUCAAAUUGCUGCCCUCAUGAAAUUUAAAUGCUGAUAAUAAAUGACAUAUUGGUGUUUCAGUAAUAAAUAAAACAAAAAAGUAAAUUA